rnacentral:lncRNA from 1 species
UAGAAAGUUUUUAGACCACAACUUUGCUGGCAGUGUGCUAGCUAAGCAUCCUUUGACAAUAAUGACAUAUUUUGAAAGACUGAUUGGUUAGAAUCUCUUCCUAGAUCUACCAGUGAUGCUGAUCGAAGCAUUGAUGGACAAACGUGUAGUUAAAAGGCUGUACCACACCAGCUGAUGGAACACCAGAAAACAACACACAGUCAACACAGAAUAGAAGCACAUGUGCCUGAUGCCCAACUAGAGGAAAUAAAAAAAAGACCUGCGAGUAAGUACUUAUUCUCUAAACUCAAAAAUCAUGUCCUUAUAGUUCUGAAGUACAUUCCGGGUUCCUUAAUUAACCAAAACUGUCAAAUUAAAUAGGUUUUAAAUCAACCACUUAUAACUAUUUCUAGGUCAGUUACUGUAUGUUUGAUUCAGGUCUUUUUCUACUUUGAUCUAAUUGUGA